AUGUGAUCAGAGCAUAACAGAUAGUAAUGCAGAAGACGCACUUUAGACUACUAUUGAAUACUUAUCAGUUUACUAGGUCACAUAACAAUAUGACACAUUUAAUGAAAUGCUGCAGGUAGAAGUACCAAUUGAUUAUAUUAUAUUUCUAAUGGUUACAUCACUAAGGUACAUGGAUGUUCCCAGACUACAGAUUAGAACUUGCCUGUUACUCAGCAGUAGUGGAAGUUGAAAAAGUUAAUAGUUAGUGAAGUGAUGUAAUAAUUUCCUAACUGAAAGUUUCCUGCAGAAACUAUUUCCAUUCUUUGCCAAGAAUCAGGCAUGUAAUAGCACGGUUCUAUCUCCACCCUAAUCCUCCUGUACCGGAAAGCAUGCCCGUUUAAAUUUGCCUGCCCAAAGACCUAAUAUAUGCCUCUGCUAACAGCAGUGACAUCCAUUCUGUUUACCCUCAGUUCAGCUAGGGACCUGUUUGUAGAUCCCUGCUGACUGGAAUAGAUGAUGUCCAUCUGAAACAGGCCUUACUUCUUUUAAAGGCUGCUGUCAACAAAUGAGAAGACACAACAAGGUAGAACUAGAGAAAGCCACAUUUUUUUGUGCAGUGAUGGUUGCUUCCCCUUUUACCAA